UGGGGAAUAUUGGACAAUGGGGGGAACCCUGAUCCAGCCAUGCCGCGUGUGUGAAGAAGGCCUUAUGGUUGUAAAGCACUUUAAGCGAGGAGGAGGGUACUGGUAUUAAUACUACCAGGUACUGGACGUUACUCGCAGAAUAAGCACCGGCUAACUCUGUGCCAGCAGCCGCGGUAAUACAGAGGGUGCAAGCGUUAAUCGGAAUUACUGGGCGUAAAGCGCGCGUAGGUGGUUCGUUAAGUUGAAUGUGAAAGCCCCGGGCUCAACCUGGGAACGGCAUCCAAAACUGGCGAGCUAGAGUAGGGCAGAGGGUGGUGGAAUUUCCUGUGUAGCGGUGAAAUGCGUAGAUAUAGGAAGGAACACCAGUGGCGAAGGCGACCACCUGGGCUCAUACUGACACUGAGGUGCGAAAGCGUGGGGAGCAAACAGG
rnacentral:rRNA from 1 species